UCAUUCUCUCGACAAUGGCUAAACUAUUAGUUCUUCAUCUCUGUUUCGUUCUCAUUGCUUCCUCUUCUCUGUUUCAUGUCGGAACUUCCAUAACUCACAAAUCUCAAGACGGAUCUGAAGAAUGGGGCUACGUUCAAGUCAGACCCAAAGCCCAUAUGUUUUGGUGGCUUUACAGAAGCCCUUCCAGAGUGGACGUCGGUUCCAAGCCAUGGUCGACCAUUCUCUGGUUGCAGGGCGGACCGGGUGGCUCAGGAACUAG